CGGGUGCUUGCACCUGGUGGAUGAGUGGCGAACGGGUGAGUAACACGUGAGUAACCUGCCCCUGAUUUCGGGAUAAGCCUGGGAAACUGGGUCUAAUACCGGAUACGACCACCGACCGCAUGGUUGGUGGUGGAAAGUUUUUCGAUUGGGGAUGGGCUCGCGGCCUAUCAGCUUGUUGGUGGGGUAAUGGCCUACCAAGGCGACGACGGGUAGCCGGCCUGAGAGGGCGACCGGCCACACUGGGACUGAGACACGGCCCAGACUCCUACGGGAGGCAGCAGUGGGGAAUAUUGCACAAUGGGGGAAACCCUGAUGCAGCGACGCAGCGUGCGGGAUGACGGCCUUCGGGUUGUAAACCGCUUUCAGCAGGGAAGAAGCGAAAGUGACGGUACCUGCAGAAGAAGUACCGGCUAACUACGUGCCAGCAGCCGCGGUAAUACGUAGGGUACGAGCGUUGUCCGGAAUUAUUGGGCGUAAAGAGCUCGUAGGUGGUUGGUCACGUCUGCUGUGGAAACGCAACGCUUAACGUUGCGCGUGCAGUGGGUACGGGCUGACUAGAGUGCAGUAGGGGAGUCUGGAAUUCCUGGUGUAGCGGUGAAAUGCGCAGAUAUCAGGAGGAACACCGGUGGCGAAGGCGGGACUCUGGGCUGUAACUGACACUGAGGAGCGAAAGCAUGGGGAGCGAACAGGAUUAGAUACCCUGGUAGUCCAUGCCGUAAACGUUGGGCACUAGGUGUGGGGGGCAUUCCACGUUCUCCGCGCCGUAGCUAACGCAUUAAGUGCCCCGCCUGGGGAGUACGGUCGCAAGGCUAAAACUCAAAGGAAUUGACGGGGGCCCGC
rnacentral:rRNA from 1 species